AUGAACGCUAGCUACAGGCUUAACACAUGCAAGUCGAGGGGCAGCAUUUUAGUUUGCUUGCAAACUGAAGAUGGCGACCGGCGCACGGGUGAGUAACACGUAUCCAACCUGCCGAUAACUCCGGGAUAGCCUUUCGAAAGAAAGAUUAAUACCGGAUGGCAUACGAAUAUCGCAUGAUAUUUUUAUUAAAGAAUUUCGGUUAUCGAUGGGGAUGCGUUCCAUUAGUUUGUUGGCGGGGUAACGGCCCACCAAGACUACGAUGGAUAGGGGUUCUGAGAGGAAGGUCCCCCACAUUGGAACUGAGACACGGUCCAAACUCCUACGGGAGGCAGCAGUGAGGAAUAUUGGUCAAUGGGCGCGAGCCUGAACCAGCCAAGUAGCGUGAAGGAUGAAGGCUCUAUGGGUCGUAAACUUCUUUUAUAUGGGAAUAAAGUUUUCCACGUGUGGAAUUUUGUAUGUACCAUAUGAAUAAGGAUCGGCUAACUCCGUGCCAGCAGCCGCGGUAAUACGGAGGAUCCGAGCGUUAUCCGGAUUUAUUGGGUUUAAAGGGAGCGUAGGUGGAUUGUUAAGUCAGUUGUGAAAGUUUGCGGCUCAACCGUAAAAUUGCAGUUGAAACUGGCAGUCUUGAGUACAGUAGAGGUGGGCGGAAUUCGUGGUGUAGCGGUGAAAUGCUUAGAUAUCACGAAGAACUCCGAUUGCGAAGGCAGCUCACUAGACUGUUACUGACACUGAUGCUCGAAAGUGUGGGUAUCAAACAGGAUUAGAUACCCUGGUAGUCCACACAGUAAACGAUGAAUACUCGCUGUUUGCGAUAUACAGUAAGCGGCCAAGCGAAAGCAUUAAGUAUUCCACCUGGGGAGUACGCCGGCAACGGUGAAACUCAAAGGAAUUGACGGGGGCCCGCACAAGCGGUGGAGUAUGUGGUUUAAUUCGACGCAACGCGAAGAACCUUACCAGGUCUUGACAUUGAUCGCCAUUCACAGAAAUGUGAAGUUCUCCUUCGGGAGACGAGAAAACAGGUGGUGCACGGCUGUCGUCAGCUCGUGUCGUGAGAUGUUGGGUUAAGUCCCGCAACGAGCGCAACCCUUACUGUCAGUUACUACGCAAGAGGACUCUGGCAGGACUGCCGUUGACAAAACGGAGGAAGGUGGGGAUGACGUCAAAUCAUCAUGCCCCUUAUGACUUGGGCUACACACGUGCUACAAUGGCGCAUACAAAGAGAAGCCACCUCGCGAGAGCAAGCGGACCUCAUAAAGUGCGUCGUAGUCCGGAUUGGAGUCUGCAACUCGACUCCAUGAAGUCGGAAUCGCUAGUAAUCGUGGAUCAGAAUGCCACGGUGAAUACGUUCCCGGGCCUUGUACACACCGCCCGUCACACCACCCGAGUCGUCUGCACCCGAAGCCGCCGGCCGAACCCGAAAGGGGCGGAGGCGUCGAAGGUGUGGAGGGUAAGGGGGGUG
rnacentral:rRNA from 1 species